rnacentral:rRNA from 1 species
AGAGUGAACGCUGGCGGUAGGCCUAACACAUGCAAGUCGGACGGCAGCACAGUGGUAGCAAUACCAUGGGUGGCGAGUGGCGGACGGGUGAGGAAUACAUCGGAAUCUACCUUUUGGUGGGGGAUAACGUAGGGAAACUUACGCUAAUACCACAUACGCCCUUCGGGGGAAAGCCGGGGACCUUCGGGCCUGGCGCUGAUAGAUGAGCCGAUGUCGGAUUAGCUAGUUGGUGAGGUAAUGGCUCACCAAGGCGACGAUCCGUAGCUGGUCUGAGAGGAUGAUCAGCCACACUGGAACUGAGACACGGUCCAGACUCCUACGGGAGCAGCAGUGGGGAAUA